UUUUUUUUUUUCUUUCUUAACUGGAAGGAUUUUCAGAAAUAGUUCUGGGUUAAACAUACUGACCUUUUGCCUGCAACCCAUGAACUAAAUCUACAUAGCUCUUUGGCUUCCGAAGGGAACUCCACCGGCCUCCCUUUCAGGAGUGAUGCUCCCAUCAGCAGACUCAGGGCACAGGCAGAGGGGUGACACACCUUGCCCCAGGUCUGACAGUCAUUAAAGAUGCAGCUCAGGCGGCAGGUCCCCCAGGCCAUACCUGACCACCAGAGUGUGUCAGGUACAGAGCUCUGUGCUCAUCUGUUGUGAAGUGAAUAGGCUUCCUCUGUCACGUGCUCCUGCCAUGAUGUACUCUGCCUCCACAGGUCCAAAGCUUCAGGUCCAAAACCACAGGACCAAGUGACCAUGGACUGAAACCUCUGAAACUCUUUCACCAUAAAACAAUAUAUACCAGACAGAAGCAUCUCCCUCAGCUUGGGCUCCAGAAUGAGAAGCCACUUGGAGCAAAUUUUUGAUCUCUCCGGCACCUAGAGCAAAGCCACAAAACCAUGCCCUACAACUGUACUGCAGCUAAUGCCUUGUGUGAAUAAUAAACAAACAGCUCAGAAACUAA